UGCAAGCAAGUGAAAACUGUUCUGUUCCA
rnacentral:piRNA from 1 species